GAUGAACGCUGGCGGCGUGCCUAAUACAUGCAAGUCGAGCGAACGGACGAGAAGCUUGCUUCUCUGAUGUUAGCGGCGGACGGGUGAGUAACACGUGGAUAACCUACCUAUAAGACUGGGAUAACUUCGGGAAACCGGAGCUAAUACCGGAUAAUAUUUUGAACCGCAUGGUUCAAAAGUGAAAGACGGUCUUGCCGUCACUUAUAGAUGGAUCCGCGCUGCAUUAGCUAGUUGGUAAGGUAACGGCUUACCAAGGCAACGAUGCAUAGCCGACCUGAGAGGGUGAUCGGCCACACUGGAACUGAGACACGGUCCAGACUCCUACGGGAGGCAGCAGUAGGGAAUCUUCCGCAAAGGGCGAAAGCCUGACGGAGCAACGCCGCGUGAGUGAUGAAGGUCUUCGGAUCGUAAAACUCUGUUAUUAGGGAAGAACAUAUGUGUAAGUAACUGUGCACAUCUUGACGGUACCUAAUCAGAAAGCCACGGCUAACUACGUG
rnacentral:rRNA from 1 species